CACGCCGCCGCCGCCCCCAUCUUCUGCGACCACCACGCCGUCGACGCCGUCCUGAAGCAUGCUGCUCCUCUCCCUAGCCAAGUCGCCCUGGAUCUCGCGAUGGAGGUGGCCGCCUCGUGGCCAUGGAGGGCUCGCCAGCCGCCUCCGGAGUCCCACAUCCCCAAGAUCGACUGGAUUGCAGCCGCCUGGCCGAGGUCGUCGGCCCUCGACGGGCUGGCACUACCUCGCCUGUGCUUGCUCCCGUCCAUGCCGCCGUCCUGCUCGGUCCGCGGCAUGACCUGCUCGCCGCGCCCGCCCAAACCCCAGGCCACACUUCCUCUUCCACUCCGCGUACUCCUGGUUGCAGCCCCUGCUCGCCACAGGCAGGGAUCAGCGGCUCGCCGGCGUGGCGCGUGGCAGCGGAGAGAAGGGGGGCAAGAUCGGCGAGGCAGAGUUCUUCCGGAAGGACGGCGUGGUGGGCGACAUGGAGGGAUACCUCAACUACCUGUCCCUCGAGUAUGACUUCGUCUCGGACACCAAUCCUGCUUGGGGAAGGCGGGAGAGGGCGCCAUCGGCAUCUCUGUCCUCCUCUACUUGGUGGCCGCCAUGUACGCAGAAGACCAUGAGGUCGCCGGGUCCGUCGCUGGCUGACCGAAGCAGGGUACCCAGACUCUGCCGUCGGUCGCGAGCCUCGCCGUCUACCUUCACCAGCCACCCCGAACGCCGUUUGUCCGGCUGGGCGGGGAAGGAGCGACGAUUCGGAGAUGUAGCAGAGCGCUUGGCCGCAGCUGCUCUCGGCACGCGACGGCGUGCCCCGCGUCCAGAGGCUCGCCUCGGCGCCCACAUCGUCCUCCUACUACUUCUCGGUGCCGCUGACCCGGCGGGAGCCGAGGGAGGUGACGUACAUCCAGAGCGUCUGCGCGCAGAUGAUCCGGCUCUGGUGCUCCAUCCCCGCCAGGCGCAGCGCGAAAUCUGGAAGAGGUGAGGAUGCUCUUCUUAAUUUGCUCGGUUAUACGUUUCUGUAUGCCGCGUGAGUUUCUGAUGAGCGUGAGGCAGAGAGAGAUAUCCAAGUACUGAUGAGUUCCUCGUGCGUGCGGGCGGGCGCAGAUCACAGCUUUACUGUAUGCUAUUUUCGUCAUGUUGAUUCCUUUGAUAAUAGCUACAAUGUUAACAAUUUUUGUUAGUUAUUUGAACAAAAUAGCCAGGGAUGCUGUCCAGCUGAUGCUUGGUAUCCACUCGAAGUUCAUCAUCCAAUGUAUUGAGGUUAUCUACCUGGACUCUGUAGUGACUUUAUAUUUUCUAUAAAAAUAUGAAUUUCAUGCUACGCACUGAAUAACUGUACAUUCCGACCCUUUCCUCGCCCAUGUCGUAUGCCGUCAGCAAACAUCACAAAACAGAACCUGUUUAUGUCAUCAAAGUCACACAACUCACUAACUACAAUCAAACUGAAGACUUCAUUUUCCUUUUACUUUGUUGCACAUUUGCAUCCAGGUCAAAUUUCCCAUUUGUAUCUGAGAGUAAACCAUGCUUGUAUACAUGAAAAAAUGAGCACGCUUUCGACAGUCCUUGGUAGAAAAGAUACAUACUGAUGAUUGCCAUCUCAAGUUUAGUGUUGUCAACUUCAAGUCCCUGGUCCCUGCUGCUCUGAACUGAGACAUAUUUGACCCACAGUUGGCUGCACACUAACUGUUGGACAGAAUGUUGACAUGUUGUGCUUACUUUAUAUCAUGAUGUAUGAUUACUUUAUAACAUGUUAUAUGUCUUCGUAAACGGUCCCAAAAAGGCAAAGAUAACUUCAGUUUUGUUUGGUGAUUGCCAAUCCGGCCAUAGCACAGCACCACUCCAAGCUCGAGAAGGAUUGCAUUUUUUGUGUUUUGUGCCAUCACAUAUUGUUCCAUCCUCACGUAUGUAUAACAGUAUAAGUGAAGAAUUACUAGACCUCUCCUAGGCACAUGCUGAUCCAUUUCAUAUUCUUCUAAAUUUAAGAGUCACCAUUUAAAUUGCCCUGGAUUAAAGCUACGUGCAUUGAUAUUUAUUAAUUGUUGAAGCUCUAUUUUUUUGUUCAAUUUUGCCUAGGAUCUCUCGAUGAUGAUCAGCAGUAUUGCAAGUUCGGCAGAAAUAAGUGAAUACUGGUCAGUAUAAUUAUAUGACGAUAAUAUUGGGGUACAAGAUCAUUUCCUAUUUUUCAUGGAGUUAGAGAACAAGAUGGUGCGUUGCAUGUUGCACAUUCAGUAUUGCUACAUAAUUAGCAGGUGAUCUUUAGACAAGUGAAUGUCUAACUGCCAUUGUCAAGUGACAGUGAGAAGAACAACGUUUACAGCCUGUGGAGUAUCUUCCAAGUUAGAUAUACCAUCCCGCUAGGUCAAGAUUUACUGAAAUGGAUUAUACUUAGAGUUGGGACGUCGCCUUACUUUUAACAUUUCAAACAGUUUCCCUUCUCUAGGUAUGGGUGUUUCUCAAGCUGUCGCUCGAGUUUCUCAUCAUGCUCUGCAAUUAGAUUUUCUACCUCUUCAUGAUCAUUGUCUUGACAAGCGAAGUCCAAGAUGGGUAGAUUGUCGUACACUCGCUUGGUAUCUGGUACUUAAUUACUUGCUUACUCUUAUUACUCCCUCCGUAAACUAAUAUAAGAGCGUUUAGAUCAGUACUUUAGUAAUCGAAACGCUCUUAUAUUAAUUUAAAGAGGGAGUACUUGGCUGCUGAGCUCACAAUCAGAAGUUCAGAACCACAACUUGAUGAGAACAUUCUGAGCUAACCAAAUAUAGUGCGCUUCUCUUUUUAUUCUACAUUCUAUGGAAUACUAAUUAUAGCAUGGGAAGGUAUGAUCUUGAUGGCCUCUAUGCUGCUAUCACGUCAGGUUAGUUACAACUACAUGUAUAAACUGUUACUCUUUGCUCUGAUUCUCAUCUUGCUGAGGAUUAAAUUCUUGUCAAGUAGUUUCAUCAGAUAGUUCUUAGUAGUGCAUUUUCCCAGUCACAAAAUUUUCCUUUAUCCCCAAGGAUAAGUUAGAGCAUAAAAAUGAAUUCAGGAACUGGGGUGGAUAUUGUUAGGAAGGGCAUAUUGUUGUACAUCUAUGCCUGCCUGCACUAUGCACCAUUUCAUUCACACGGGAAGGUAUUGUAACAUCCAGAAAUAACAAGCUAGCUGAAAAGAUAUGCAGACUAUUGACUUAAUGGUUGUGAAACUCAAAUAUUUGGAGUUGCCCAAAAGGGAAAUAGAGGUUCAGAGUUACAGUGGAAGCCACCACCCACUGAAACUGCAAUGAGUUGACUGGAAAAAACCACCUUCAAUAUAUAAGAGUCCCUUCUUACACCGCCCCAAAGGGAAAUAGAGGUUCAGAGUUACAGUGGAAGCCACCACCCACUGAAACUGCAACGAGUUGACUGGGAAAAACCACCUUCAAUAUAUAAGAGUUCCUUCUUACACCGCCCCAAAGGGAAAUAGAGGUUCAGAGUUACAGUGGAAGCCACCACCCACUAAAACUGCAACGAGUUGACUGGGAAAAACCACCUUCAAUAUAUAAGAGUUCCUUCUUACACCUACACUAUAAAAAAAAUAAGGAGUAUGAAAAAGUCACCUUGGAUCAUAAUUCAAGGAAUGUAUUACUCUUUGCUCCGUUCUAUUUAAAAUACAUAUUGUAACAAUUAACAUGUUAAUGUGUGUCUGGUUAUGUCUUGCCUUGCUACUUGGGUGCCAUCGAUGUCUGUUUAUUGUCUUCCAUGCAAAUAAAAGAAUCCAAAUACAUCAGGUCUCUUAAUAUUUGUACAUACUACUGAUAUUUGUUUCUUUUUUGGCUGAAGCUCUCAAAGGUGUAGCCUUCAAGCUUUACAAUAUGGGUUGGGAUUUCAGAGAUGAUUUGUGCAUUAUAAUUGUAAUUUGGGUAAUUUCUUGGUUUCAGGAACAUAACUGCAACUCGAGUGACUGAGCACAUGCAACACUGCAGGCGUACACCUUGAAACAGACACCUGAUGGCCUGGCAAGUUCUACUCCUGAAAUCAACGUCUAUGGCUUGAAGACACAAUCAUGAGCCGCGACAUCCAACCAACAGACCCACGUGUGCCGACCAAACUAAGGAGACGCCGGCGCCACUUCCCCAAAGUUAAUUUCUCCAUCCGAGUGUAAUAUUUGUCAGACAUGCGUUGCACGUGCACGCUUAUUAGAGCCAUAACUUUGAUGAUUUCUUAUCAGCUUCACAAGUUUGUAUAUUUGCUGGUUCGUACUUGAUAUGUGAUAAACAGAGCCAAAACAAAUUUGGUCAUGUUAUUGAGGGGUUUGUCUGAA